CAGCUUGUUGGUGAGGUAAUGGCUCACCAAGGCGUCGACGGGUAGCCGGCCUGAGAGGGUGACCGGCCACACUGGGACUGAGACACGGCCCAGACUCCUACGGGAGGCAGCAGUGGGGAAUAUUGCACAAUGGGCGCAAGCCUGAUGCAGCAACGCCGCGUGAGGGACGACGGCCUUCGGGUUGUAAACCUCUUUUAGCAGGGAAGAAGCGAAAGUGACGGUACCUGCAGAAAAAGCGCCGGCUAACUACGUGCCAGCAGCCGCGGUAAUACGUAGGGCGCAAGCGUUAUCCGGAAUUAUUGGGCGUAAAGAGCUCGUAGGCGGUUUGUCGCGUCUGCUGUGAAAUCCGGAGGCUCAACCUCCGGCCUGCAGUGGGUACGGGCAGACUAGAGUGCGGUAGGGGAGAUUGGAAUUCCUGGUGUAGCGGUGGAAUGCGCAGAUAUCAGGAGGAACACCGAUGGCGAAGGCAGAUCUCUGGGCCGUAACUGACGCUGAGGAGCGAAAGGGUGGGGAGCAAACAGGCUUAGAUACCCUGGUAGUCCACCCCGUAAACGUUGGGAACUAGUUGUGGGGUCCAUUCCACGGAUUCCGUGACGCAGCUAACGCAUUAAGUUCCCCGCCUGGGGAGUACGGCCGCAAGGCUAAAACUCAAAGGAAUUGACGGGGACCCGCACAAGCGGCGGAGCAUGCGGAUUAAUUCGAUGCAACGCGAAGAACCUUACCAAGGCUUGACAUAUACGAGAACGGGCCAGAAAUGGUCAACUCUUUGGACACUCGUAAACAGGUGGUGCAUGGUUGUCGUCAGCUCGUGUCGUGAGAUGUUGGGUUAAGUCCCGCAACGAGCGCAACCCUCGUUCUAUGUUGCCAGCACGUAAUGGUGGGAACUCAUGGGAUACUGCCGGGGUCAACUCGGAGGAAGGUGGGGAUGACGUCAAAUCAUCAUGCCCCUUAUGUCUUGGGCUUCACGCAUGCUACAAUGGCCGGUACAAAGGGCUGCAAUACCGCGAGGUGGAGCGAAUCCCAAAAAGCCGGUCCCAGUUCGGAUUGAGGUCUGCAACUCGACCUCAUGAAGUCGGAGUCGCUAGUAAUCGCAGAUCAGCAACGCUGCGGUGAAUACGUUCCCGGGUCUUGUACACACCGCCCGUCAAGUCAUGAAAGUCGGUAACACCUGAAGCCGGUGGCCUAACCCUUGUGGAGGGAGCCGUCGAAGGG
rnacentral:rRNA from 1 species